AUUGAACGCUGGCGGCAGGCCUAACACAUGCAAGUCGAGCGGAUGAAGGGAGCUUGCUCCUGGAUUCAGCGGCGGACGGGUGAGUAAUGCCUAGGAAUCUGCCUGGUAGUGGGGGAUAACGUCCGGAAACGGGCGCUAAUACCGCAUACGUCCUGAGGGAGAAAGUGGGGGAUCUUCGGACCUACGCCUUUCGAAGGAGCCUAGGUCGGAUUAGCUAGUUGGUGGGGUAAAGGCUUACCAAGGCGACGAUCCGUAACUGGUCUGAGAGGAUGAUCAGUCACACUGGAACUGAGACACGGUCCAGACUCCUACGGGAGGCAGCAGUGGGGAAUAUUGGACAAUGGGCGAAAGCCUGAUCCAGCCAUGCCGCGUGUGUGAAGAAGGUCUUCGGAUUGUAAAGCACUUUAAGUUGGGAGGAAGGGCAGUAAGUUAAUACCUUGCUGUUUUGACGUUACCAACAGAAUAAGCACCGGCUAACUUCGUG
rnacentral:rRNA from 1 species